rnacentral:misc_RNA from 1 species
GAAAUACGAUAAGUAGUGUGAAUUACAGAAUUUAGUGAAUCAUCGAAUCUUUAAACGCAUAUUGCGCCCCUUAGUAUUCCGUAGGGCAUGCCUGUUUAAGCGUUAUUUACCUCUUAAGCUCUACUUAGUGUUGGGCGUUAUCCCGCUUUGCGCGAGGACUUGCCCUAAAGGUAUUAGCAGCGGUUGUGCUACCUCUCGCGCAGCAUAUUACGCUUCUUAAGGCAGUUAAUUAGCGUUUACAAAGCUUAUAUUAUAUCUUAACCUCGGAUUAGGUAGGGAUACCCGCUGAACUUAA